UACGGGGGGAGCAAGCGUUGUUCGGAUUUACUGGGCGUAAAGGGCGCGUAGGCGGCCACCGCAAGUCAAUUGUGAAAUCUCCGGGCUUAACUCGGAAAGGUCAACUGAUACUGCGGGGCUAGAGUGCGGAAGGGGCAACUGGAAUUCUCGGUGUAGCGGUGAAAUGCGUAGAUAUCGAGAGGAACACCUGCGGCGAAGGCGGGUUGCUGGGCCGACACUGACGCUGAGGCGCGAAAGCUAGGGGAGCGAACGGG
rnacentral:rRNA from 1 species